rnacentral:rRNA from 1 species
AUUGAACGCUGGCGGCAUGCUUUACACAUGCAAGUCGAACGGUAACAGGCCUUCGGGUGCUGACGAGUGGCGAACGGGUGAGUAAUGCAUCGGAACGUACCCAGAGGUGGGGGAUAACGCAGCGAAAGCUGUGCUAAUACCGCAUGUGAUCUGAGGAUGAAAGCGGGGGACCGCGCAGCAAUGUUUGGCCUCGCGCCUUUGGAGCGGCCGAUGUCGGAUUAGCUAGUUGGUGGGGUAAAGGCCUACCAAGGCGACGAUCCGUAGCUGGUCUGAGAGGACGACCAGCCACACUGGGACUGAGACACGGCCCAGACUCCUACGGGAGGCAGCAAUGGGGAAUUUUGGACAAUGGGCGCAAGCCUGAUCCAGCAAUGCCGCGUGCGGGAAGAAGGCCUUCGGGUUGUAAACCGCUUUUGGCAGGAACGAAACGGUGUCCGCUAAUACCGGGCGCUAAUGACGGUACCUGCAGAAUAAGCACCGGCUAACUACGUG